rnacentral:misc_RNA from 1 species
GACGCUGCAUAAGAGUCUCCUGGUUAAAAACCGCCAUGGACGGUGGCGGUGUUGCUUGACCGACGGCUUUACUCGGGUCUGUUGAGGUGAAAUAAGGUGGCUGAGGAAGUUGCUGUGGCUGUGGCGGCGUAACCCAGAAAGAACUGAGAUCGGAGUUGGUGAAAACGUCCAUCAUGGAGACGUUCUCAUCCGCCCAGAGAUUCAUGGUCGGUGGUAAUCGAUAGUCGGUCAUUCCAUACAGUGAUGGGAGUUGAGAAUGGAAUCGGAUCCGGCGGACGGUGGCCGGAGGAGUGGAGAGUUAGAAUAUGGGUUGAAAAUUGACGGCGGAGGGAGAGAUGAAAU